AUGAAAACAGGAGAAACAUAUGCCAUUGAGUUUGUCAGUGAAACCGGCAAGCCCCUACAGCACACCUCAAAGUUUAUCAACCAAUGCGGAGUCGUUGUUAGAGACAACGUCCCGAUCACCGUCCAGGAAUGGAAGGAGCCAAAGAAGGCACGUCUUGGUUUCAGUUUUGUCGACAAGAGAACGAAAAAGGAUUGCUGGAGAAAGCUUAUGGAACAUUUCAGUCUACCUCCGGAAUACAACAAAGUCGAUGAAUUCGGUAACGAGGUUCCGGGUGGACGUGAGAGGAGGAGGCUAGUUAAAGAGUUCGUUCUUCAGAAGAUGGGCGAAGCAUUCCGGAACUUCAAGAAAAAUUUAACCCGUGACUAUGUCAACAAGGGCAAGACUCCGGACAACAUGAGAAACUGA
rnacentral:rRNA from 1 species